ACAACAUUUGGAUUGUCGGUCUACCAAGUAAUAUCAUUCGGUUGAUGGAAGAUCUUCUCUUUAUCGG
rnacentral:pre_miRNA from 1 species